rnacentral:tRNA from 1 species
AGCUCUGUAAUUCACUUUAGAAUAUCAAGGUGCAAACUUGAAAGAGUAGGUUUUACCAGAGCUU